CAUGAAUCUGGUCUUGGGACACUGUCAGGUGGGCAGUUUGACUGGGGCGGUCGCCUCCCAAAAGGUAACGGAGGCGCUCAAAGGUUCUCUCAGUACGGUCGGAAAUCGUACGUAGAGGGUAAAGGCAAAAGAGAGCUUGAUUGCAAGACAUACAGGUCGAGCAAGGAUGAAAAUCGGACUUAGUGAUCCGGGGGUUCUGCGUGGAAGGGCCAUCGCUCAACGGAUAAAAGCUACCCUGGGGAUAACAGGCUUAUCUCCCCCAAGAGUCCACAUCGACGGGGAGGUUUGGCACCUCGAUGUCGGCUCAUCACAUCCUGGGGCUGUAGUAGGUCCCAAGGGUUGGGCUGUUCGCCCAUUAAAGUGGUACGCGAGCUGGGUUCAGAACGUCGUGAGACAGUUCGGUCCCUAUCCGUCGCAGGCGUAGGAAAUUUGAGAAGACCUGUCCUUAGUACGAGAGGACCGGGAUGGACGUACCUCUGGUGUACCAGUUGUCCUGCCAAGGGCAUGGCUGGGUAGCUAUGUACGGAAUGGAUAAGCGCUGAAAGCAUCUAAGCGCGAAGCCAACUUCAAGAUAAGAUUUCCCACCGCAAGGGUAAGACCCCAGAAAGACUAUCUGGUUGAUAGGUCGAAGGUGUAAGUGCAGCAAUGUACUUAGCUUAUCGAUACUAAUAGGUCGAGGACUUGACCAAU
rnacentral:rRNA from 1 species